UCCAGACUCCUACGGGAGGCAGCAGUGGGGAAUAUUGCACAAUGGGCGCAAGCCUGAUGCAGCCAUGCCGCGUGUAUGAAGAAGGCCUUCGGGUUGUAAAGUACUUUCAGCGGGGAGGAAGGUGUUGUGGUUAAUAACCACAGCAAUUGACGUUACCCGCAGAAGAAGCACCGGCUAACUCCGUGCCAGCAGCCGCGGUAAUACGGAGGGUGCAAGCGUUAAUCGGAAUUACUGGGCGUAAAGCGCACGCAGGCGGUCUGUCAAGUCGGAUGUGAAAUCCCCGGGCUCAACCUGGGAACUGCAUUCGAAGCUGGCAGGCUGGAGUCUUGUAGAGGGGGGUAGAAUUCCAGGUGUAGCGGUGAAAUGCGUAGAGAUCUGGAGGAAUACCGGUGGCGAAGGCGGCCCCCUGGACAAAGACUGACGCUCAGGUGCGAAAGCGUGAGGAGCAAACAGGAUUAGAUACCCUAGUAUG
rnacentral:rRNA from 1 species